UACGGAGGAUGCAAGCGUUAUCCGGAAUGAUUGGGCGUAAAGCGUCCGCAGGUGGCUAUGUAAGUCUGCUGUUAAAGAGCAAAGCUUAACUUUGUAAAAGCAGUGGAAACUACAUAGCUAGAGUGCGUUCGGGGUAGAGGGAAUUCCUGGUGUAGCGGUGAAAUGCGUAGAGAUCAGGAAGAACACCGGUGGCGAAGGCGCUCUACUAGGCCGCAACUGACACUGAGGGACGAAAGCUAGGGGAGCGAAU
rnacentral:rRNA from 1 species